UGAUGCUCUAACCCUGCUGGGUGCAGAUGUGGACAAGGAGGGCUGCAUGUUGCCCAGAGCUGGAGUCAGGCUCUAUCCAGCAGGCAGAGCAGAACUCAGAACAGCAUAUUAUUGGUAGGUAGUUCCUCCUUCUGAAUUACCUAAGCCAACCCCCACCCAAUCAGCUCCAGGGUCCAGAUCUAGUGAAGAUCCUAAGGCUCAGGCCAAGGAGAAGGUGAAGCCCUGGACAGGGCUCUUGAGUAGCCUGUGAGCAGCCCAGUAGGGGACAGAGGACACUGGACAUGGGGCCAGACAGGGAGGCCACCAGUAAACACAGACCUGUAGCUCCAUCAUCACUGGGGUCUUGGCUGCGUGUGCACCGUCCCACACAGGCUCUGUGUCUCUGUUCUCCCUUCCCGUUUUGUGGAGCACAGCUGCAUGCAUGUAGGGCUGGCCCUGGUGGUUCCGGGCACUUGGAGUACCACCCAUGGCACAUGCGCGUAUUCUUAGGUUGUACUGAUGGUCACAUACCUCUCUCACAGUUACCUACCCUGAGACUCACAUCUAACUCCACAGAAACACACGCACAUGUGUGCCUGAGCAUGUGGAACUGCUUCAGGUUGCUGUGCUUGUAUGUACAUAGACUUGUGUUUGAGAACAGUGAACACAUCUGUGGGUAGAUUUGGGCCACAUAUAUACAUAAGAGGGCCUGCACCCUCUGUGAUUAGGGACCCAUUCUGUGCCUAUACUGCUAUUUUUCAUCAUCGUGUGCUCCCUGCCUU
rnacentral:lncRNA from 1 species